AGUGAACGCUGGCGGUAGGCCUAACACAUGCAAGUCGAACGGCAGCACAGUAAGAGCUUGCUCUUACGGGUGGCGAGUGGCGGACGGGUGAGGAAUAAAUCGGAAUCUACUUUUUCGUGGGGGAUAACGUAGGGAAACUUACGCUAAUACCGCAUACGACCUACGGGUGAAAGCAGGGGAUCUUCGGACCUUGCGCGAUUGAAUGAGCCGAUGUCGGAUUAGCUAGUUGGCGGGGUAAAGGCCCACCAAGGCGACGAUCCGUAGCUGGUCUGAGAGGAUGAUCAGCCACACUGGAACUGAGACACGGUCCAGACUCCUACGGGAGGCAGCAGUGGGGAAUAUUGGACAAUGGGCGCAAUCCUGAUCCAGCCAUACCGCGUGGGUGAAGAAGGCCUUCGGGUUGUAAAGCCCUUUUGUUGGGAAAGAAAAGCAGCAGGUUAAUACCCCGCUGUUCUGACGGUACCCAAAGAAGAAGCACCGGCUAACUUCGUG
rnacentral:rRNA from 1 species